rnacentral:rRNA from 1 species
AUUGAACGCUGGCGGCAUGCCUUACACAUGCAAGUCGAACGGUAACAGGUCUUCGGAUGCUGACGAGUGGCGAACGGGUGAGUAAUAUAUCGGAACGUGCCUAGUCGUGGGGGAUAACGCAGCGAAAGCUGUGCUAAUACCGCAUACGAUCUAUGGAUGAAAGCGGGGGAUCGCAAGACCUCGCGCGAUUGGAGCGGCCGAUAUCAGAUUAGGUAGUUGGUGGGGUAAAGGCUCACCAAGGCGACGAUCUGUAGCGGGUCUGAGAGGAUGGUCGGCCACACUGGGACUGAGAUACGGCCCAGACUCCUACGGGAGGCAGCAGUGGGGAAUUUUGCGCAAUGGGGGCAACCCUGACGCAGCGACGCCGCGUGGGUGAAGAAGGCCUCGGUUGUAAGCCUGUCUAGGGGAGAGUAGUGACGGUACCCGUGGAGGAAGACCCGGCUAACUACGUAGCCAGCAGCCGCGGUAUGAGUAGUACA